rnacentral:lncRNA from 1 species
UCAGAUGUUAAAUCUGCAGGUAUAUCAUUUCUAAAUCUGUUGUUCUGCUUUAACACCUGUUUUCUGUGUAUAUGGUUCUGUACAGAUUUGGUCAUGAUCUUUCUUCAAAGCUGUGCAAAGCAAAGGGAAUUUGUCUCCAUCAAACAGGGGGAGAUUGUUGAAGCUGGAGGAAGCUUCUUCCCUACCAAGGCUUGAUGUGUGUUUGAUGAAGAAAAUGGCUUGAGUGCUUUGAAGAUUGUAAUAGGUUUUUAGAUUCAUUUGUAAUUAGGCUUGUAAGUGUGUAUGAUUG